GAUGAACGCUGGCGGCGUGCCUAAUACAUGCGAGUCGAGCGAACAGAUGAGGAGCUUGCUCCUCUGACGUUAGCGGCGGACGGGUGAGUAACACGUGGAUAACCUACCUAUAAGACUGGGAUAACUUCGGGAAACCGGAGCUAAUACCGGAUAAUAUAUUGAACCGCAUGGUUCAAUAGUGAAAGACGGUUUUGCUGUCACUUAUAGAUGGAUCCGCGCCGCAUUAGCUAGUUGGUAAGGUAACGGCUUACCAAGGCAACGAUGCGUAGCCGACCUGAGAGGGUGAUCUGCCACACUGGAACUGAGACACGGUCCAGACUCCUACGGGAGGCAGCAGUAGGGAAUCUUCCGCAAUGGGCGAAAGCCUGACGGAGCAACGCCGCGUGAGUGAUGAAGGUCUUCGGAUCGUAAAACUCUGUUAUUAGGGAAGAACAAAUGUGUAAGUAACUAUGCACGUCUUGACGGUACCCAAUCAGAAAGCCACGGCUAACUACGUG
rnacentral:rRNA from 1 species